CAACAAGCGAUGGAUUAAUCUUGCUGCGCGCCUUGGGGCCGAGUGUGGGAAGAUGUAGCCAGGCAGUUGGCCAGGGGCGGGGAACUACUGGAGCAAGGCAGGGAUCAGCACUGAUGUUAAAAACACUCCAGGGAAUACAAUUGAUGUCACUGGCCAAAUUACUGCAGUCUUGGAAAACAGUGAUGCAGAACAGAUAUCGGAGUAGACCAACGAACCACAUUUAUUAAGGAGAAGAGCUAAACUAACCACAGGAUACAGAGUCUACAAAAUCCAGAACACAGACAAACUGCUUAACUUCAGCAGACUGUAACUCAAUACCAAUGGGAGAAGAUACUCUGAGACCUGCUCUUCCACUGCGUGACUCCAGCCUGUCCUCUCCCACUCUGCUGCUCUUUCACAUUUAAAGAUCACAACUGAGAACCUUUCUAAUGUCCAGACCCAUACUCUGAAUCUGAAUACCUGGGCUGUUCUUUCCAAAUGCUGGAACAGACAGGAGCUACAAAGCCUCAUCAUAAGUCUGUGACUGGAAGAGAGCAAUAGCAGCAAGCUGUUGAAAACCAGUGUGUGGUUUUUGUUUUUAACUACAAUUAAUAUCUUCACUGCUGAAAUGUAUGACAUCAUUCUAUGGAUGCAUGUUUGAAAACAAUGAAUUCUAGUUUACACAUUCCCCUGGGAGUUGACAUUUGGAUUUGUUUCUGAGUUGCUUAUAACACCAGUUUUCUUGUUUAGUUGUUUUUUUCCAAACAUGCUUCUCUACUGGACAAUAUAUACUAUGAUUAGAGAAUUUUCUGUUACAUUGCACAUAGCACUGGAAAGAAACAGUUUUAUAAUGUAUUCAAUUUAUAAUUAAACAAAAGC